CAACAACAACAAAUAUGGCGGAAUCUGUAUUGUCAAACACGGAAGAAGAAGGAUACAACCAUAAUUAAACCAAGAAGUUUAUGAAGAAGGGAUCACUGGAUUUUGUCACUUUGGUACAAGAAACAGAAAAGGAUAUCAUAGACCACCUUACUUAUACGGAAGCAUAGGAGCUGUUGACGGAAAUUGCUGCCAGACAGUCAACAGUUAUCACUGACAGCCUGUCCUGGCCCAGCUGGGACCAUCCUCAAGCUAACCAUGAUGAUGUGUUUGCAAGAAUUGUCCAUUUGGGAGAACAUGAUGAAGACAAGCUUUAUUGUGGCAUGGCCUGACAAUACUGUACAAGCCAGAGACCAAAAAAGGGUUAAGUGGUGACUGAUCCUCUCACCCUCCUUAUCCAGGAAACGUUUCGGAACAACGUGUUGGCACUGAACAUGUGGAGGACACAUAUUGAUCACAGUACAUCCUUUGGAUACA